CUAAAGUCGCUCUCAGAUGAUUCACAGACAGUGGCUCCCACAUUCUUAACACCUUGGGUUAACUUUUUCGCAAGGCUGCCGAGCUCAGAGUCGCUACUUCACAGACGGAGUGGAAAUAACAGAGAGGUAAAUGAACUGGGGUGGCUGUGGCUCUUGCAGAAAAUUCCCAUAUACAAUGGUCAGAAAUGGUCAUACUGGUGUUUCAUCAAAAAAAGAUACAUCUUCUCACCUGAAGGACCCCCUGCAUGAUCAUGGUUGGCCUCAAAAUGAUCAUGAAGACUGUUCAAAUACUGUUCAGCACCAAAAAAAGAUGUGGAACAGUCAAGGGAAGAAGCCCAACCCCCCACUGUGACACUCUCAGCAUGUAAUAAAUAAACCCUCAAUUACGCA
rnacentral:lncRNA from 1 species